rnacentral:rRNA from 1 species
GAUAAACGCUGGCGGCGCACAUAAGACAUGCAAGUCGAACGAACUUAACCCUUUGUUUACAUUGGGAGCGGUUAGUGGCGGACUGGUGAGUAACACGUAAGCAACCUGCCUAUUAGAGGGGAAUAACAGUGAGAAAUCAUUGCUAAUACCGCAUAUGCUCACAGUAUCACAUGAUACAGUGAGGAAAGGAGCAAUCCGCUAAUAGAUGGGCUUGCGUCUGAUUAGCUAGUUGGUGGGGUAACGGCCUACCAAGGCGACGAUCAGUAGCCGGACUGAGAGGUUGAACGGCCACAUUGGGACUGAGAUGCGGCCCAGACUCCUACGGGAGGCAGCAGUCGGGAAUAUUGCGCAAUGGAGGAAACUCUGACGCAGUGACGCCGCGUAUAGGAAGAAGGUUUUCGGAUUGUAAACUAUUGUCGUUAGGGAAGAUAAAAGACAGUACCUAAGGAGGAAGCUCCGGCUAACUAUGUGCCAGCAGCCGCGGUAAUACAUAGGGAGCAAGCGUUAUCCGGAAUUAUUGGGUGUAAAGGGUGCGUAGACGGAGGAACAAGUUAGUUGUGAAAUCCCUCGGCUUAACUGAGGAACUGCAACUAAAACUAUUCCCCUUGAGUGUCGGAGAGGAAAGUGGAAUUCCUAGUGUAGCGGUGAAAUGCGUAGAUAUUAGGAGGAACACCAGUGGCGAAGGCGACUUUCUGGACGAUAACUGACGUUGAGGCACGAAAGUGUGGGGAGCAAACAGGAUUAGAUACCCUGGUAGUCCACACUGUAAACGAUGGAUACUAGGUGUAGGGUGUAUUAAGCACUCUGUGCCGCCGCAAACGCAUUAAGUAUCCCACCUGGGGAGUACGACCGCAAGGUUGAAACUCAAAGGAAUUGACGGGGGCCCGCACAAGCAGUGGAGUAUGUGGUUUAAUUCGAAGCAACGCGAAGAACCUUACCAGGGCUUGACAUAUACCGGAAUAUACUAGAGAUAGUAUAGUCCUUCGGGACUGGUAUACAGGUGGUGCAUGGUUGUCGUCAGCUCGUGUCGUGAGAUGUUGGGUUAAGUCCCGCAACGAGCGCAACCCCUAUCGUUAGUUGCUAGCAGGUAAAGCUGAGAACUCUAGCGAGACUGCCGGUGAUAAAUCGGAGGAAGGUGGGGAUGACGUCAAAUCAUCAUGCCCCUUAUGUCCUGGGCUACACACGUACUACAAUGGCCGCAACAGAGGGAAGCGAAAUAGUGAUAUGGAGCAAAACCCGAAAAACGGUCUCAGUUCGGAUUGAAGGCUGAAAUUCGCCUUCAUGAAGCUGGAAUUGCUAGUAAUGGCAGGUCAGCAUACUGCCGUGAAUACGUUCCCGGGCCU